GUGAAAUUUCCUUUCAGAAAAAUGUCUUUCAUUAUAAGUUGUAGCAAAAUUGCUGCUUGAAAAGUUGUUCACAGAAAAAAAAAAUCGUAAUAUACAAAUAUAUUUCGUACAUCGUCAAGGACUGUGUAUACAAUAGUAUGUAACUUCGUGAAUCCUACUUUUUGGCAUUUUUUUAGUAAGUAUCUGAAUCAAUCAAAAAAUUUCCAAAAAUCAG